GUAGUCUCGCACAGAUGCAUAUCAAUAAGCGGAGGAAAAGAAACUAACAAGGAUUCCCUUAGUAACGGCGAGUGAAGCGGGAAGAGCUCAAAUUUGAAAUCUUCAAGGUUUUACCUUGACGAAUUGUAGUUUAAAGAAGUGUUUUCUGUUGAAGUUUUGGUAAAAGUUCUUUGGAAUAGGACAUCAUAGAGGGUGAGAAUCCCGUAUUUGACCAUUAUUUUCAGCUGUGUGAUACACUUUCAAAGAGUCGGAUUGUUUGGGAAUGCAGUCCAAAAUGGGUGGUAAAUUUCAUCUAAAGCUAAAUAUUGGCGAGAGACCGAUAGCGAACAAGUACCGUGAGGGAAAGAUGAAAAGAACUUUGAAAAGAGAGUUAAACAGUACGUGAAAUUGUCAAAAGGGAAGCGUUUGACACCAGAGUUGUUUUUCUGAAAAUCAAUUAAAGAACUGUUUAUGCUAAGUUGUUUAGACUUUAUCAGCUAUCUGUUUAGUUUUGAGCUUUUCUUUAAUGCACUUUUCAGUUAACAAGUCAACAUCAAUUUCUUUUGCUGUAAAAAAGCUUGAGGAAGGUGGCUUGAGAUUCGUCUUAAGUGUUUAUAGCCUCUUGCCUAUGCAGUCGGAGAGACUGAGGUCUGCAGCGUAGAUCCUUCGGGGUUAGAUACAUUUGUGCUAAGUUAUAGCUUUUUAUAGACAACUUGUUGACUAUGAUUAGUCUCGUAGCUUACUCGCUUAUGCUAUUUUACCUACGCUUAGGAUGUUGAUGUGAUACUGCGAGCGCGUAGUCUCGCACAGAUGCAUAUCAAUAAGCGGAGGAAAAGGGAAGGGCCCUAGUACCUACGCUUAGGAUGUUGAUGUGAUACUGCGAGCA
rnacentral:rRNA from 1 species